rnacentral:lncRNA from 1 species
UUGGCUUUAGUGCAAGUGGGAGAUUGUUAGAAGUAUGCCCUAGAAGCCAAUUUGGCUGACGCAUUAUUUUGUUCUGGGACAUAAAUUUAUACUUGACCUAAUAAUGAAUUUAUUAGGAUGGGCAUUCUUUUCAUUCAUGUUCUUAUGUGUCCAUGAAUCGUCCAAGGAAUUAAUAAGAUGAUGACGCAUAUUCUCAAGAGUUUAGAAUUUGAGGCAUAUGUCAUUGGUGAUUAAUUCCUGAAUUGCUCCUAAUCAAUGGAUCCAUCAUGAGGGACGAUGAUCGAUCCGCUGAGAUUAGUGCACAAAUCACCUAGUCGGAUGGAUGAGUCUUGAGUCCACAGUGUAGGGACACUAGAGUGAUUGUGCAAGUGCUUGUUAGAGAACAAGGGUACUGAGCAUGACCAAAGCAAGUAGUCACUUGGAUGUCUAUCCACUCAUCAGUGACUUACUUAAUGCUGCAGUUGUAUGACUGGUCCUUUGAUCUGCGAUGCCUCGGCUAUUCACAGUGAGGUUACUGUAGUUUGACGAGCAUAUAAAUAUGGACCCUAUCCAUUUGGAUCCUUGUGGUGCAGAUUGACUGCAGUAGGUUCAUUGUAGGAGUAGGGGUACAUCUAGAUGGAAUCUAUCAACCUUGAUAGAUUAGGAGGGAUCUUAUGUGAUUUAUGAGACUGAGUUCGUAAAUCCUUGGCCAAGGUAGUUUUUGAAAAAAGAGUUUUCCAAUCUCGAACUGGAGUCGAAUAAAUUUUACAUAUGACAGAUGAUGGGGUUUGACGAGUUAUCCAUAACCUCCAUCCUGUCGGGAUCCACGAUAGAGGAACUGUAUCAUACGCUAACUGCACCUAGAGGUUCUUCUAUUCCAUUCUGCUGGGUUGCCACUAUAUGCUGCUACGUGUCACUGGUGGAUUGUGAGACUCAGAAGCAUUCACUUGAUGAUCAGUGAACCCGAAUGAGAAGAGUUGGAAUUGUUCCAACCCAUUGAAAGAAGUUUCAAUUAUAUUGUGGUACGGAUCACAAUAUAUCUCACUACUAGACAGAAUAGAAUCUAUGGGGUCACACACAAUAGAGGAUCUGAUUGAUCAAAUGGUUGGAUUGUGAUUUCGAAUCAUAAUAGUUUGUAAUUGUCAAUUUGAUUGAUAAUUAAUUUAACCCACUAAAAGUUAGUGCGUUGAAGAAGGAAUUAAUUAUAAUUGGAUUGCAAUUUAAUUGAAUCAAUUGGACUUAAUUAAUUAGGCUCAAUCUUAUAUGAUAAGGUUCAAGAGUCCUACUUGGAGUAGUACACCUAGAGUUCUAAUUUGAUUAGGAAUUCAAAUUAUUAGAGUCCUACUUGGGGUAGGAUUCCUAAAGUCCUAAUUGGAUUAGGACUAAAAUUGUAUGAGUCCUAAUUGGAUUAGAACUCCUAGAGUUCUAAUUAAUUAUUGGUCUAAUAGAUGAAGAUGACUCCUAAU